rnacentral:rRNA from 1 species
CCCUUAGAUGUUCUGGGCCGCACGCGUGCUACACUGAGUGGAUCAGCGGGUCAGGUUGCGCGAAAGUGUUUCCUAAUCUUGAAAUCCGCUCGUGAUGGGGAUUGACGGUUGCAAUUUUCCGUCAUGAACGAGGAAUACCUUGUAAGCGCGGGUCAUCAUCCCGCGCUGAAUACGUCCCUGCCCUUUGUACACACCGCCCGUCGCUCCUACCGAUUGGGUGGUCCGGUGAGGCUUUGGGAUCUGAGCAAAAAGAGCGUUUCGCUCGUUUGGCUCGGAAAACUCAGUCGAACCUUAUCAUUUAGAGGAAGGAGAAGUCGUAACA